AGGAGAGGAGAGGGGGGAGGAGAGGGGAGUUAUAGUAAAGUAGAGUAAGAGUUAGAGGUAUAGUAGAGUUAGAGAAAGAGUAGAGUACAGGCCGAUCACAUGAGGCUGUCCUGGACAUCUAGUUAGAGCUAGCCGUCGUGUUAGAGCUAGCCGUCGUGUUAGAGCUAGCCGUCGUGUUGGAGCUAGCCGUCGUGUUAGAGCUAGCUGUCGUGUUAGAGCUAGCCGUCCUGUUAGAGCUAGCCGUCGUGUUAGAGCUAGCCGUCGUGUUAGAGCUAGCCGUCCUGUUAGAGCUAGCCGUCGUGUUAGAGCUAGCGUCCUGUUAGAGCUAGCCGUCGUGUUCGAGCUAGCCGUCGUGCUAGAGCUAGCGUCCUGUUAGAGCUAGCUGUCGGGUUAUUUCAGGACCGGGCGUUCAAGACCCCAGCUGGAGGCGGGGCCUCGGGGGAAGGGGGAGUGACAUGUCCCUGACUCCUCCCCCUCUGCUGAGAGGAAGAACAGGCUGCAGGUUUUAGAAACCGAUCAGUGACGGCACCUGGCUCCUCCCCCAUUAGGGCGGGGUUUAAACACCUGACCAAUGGGGAGGGGAAACGUGAGGUCCCCCCCGGUCCCACACACCCAGCACAGACACACACACACACCCAGCACAGACACACACACACACCCAGCAUAGACACACACACCCAGCACAGACACACACACCCAGCACACACACACACACACACACACACACACACACACACACACACACACACACACACACACACACACACACACACACACACACACACACACACACACACACACACACC